rnacentral:lncRNA from 1 species
UCUCGCGAGACUUCAGGGUGACGGUUAAAGGACGAGGGACGGAAGCUACAAACGGGCCUUAAUCUGAAAAGACUUGAUUUUCUUAUCUGUAUGACAUUAAGAUAAAAAGUUCACUAAUUUAAAGGCGUGUAGUGCCUGGAGAUUAUGGUGAUUAAGGGGAUAGCCUGGAGACCAUAAAGAAUUCUAAGAGGGAGUUUUCGUUUUGAAUCGGACGCGUGGCCUGUUGCCUUUAACCACCAUAGACUGAAGCUGCCACGUGAAAACCACAAGUCCCAGAAUUCAACGUGCGCUACGCUGAGUCGGGGUGUGAUUGGCUGCAGGAACUUGUAGCGUUCUCAUUGGCUCCUGUGGGAGGAGAGAAUGCUGGGAUUUGCAGGCUGGCGCGGGAGGCGUGCUGGGGACGACCUUUCAAUCACCGCUCCGUUUCCGCCUCGGGCUGGAAUGUUGCUGAGCUUCAUCAGUAGAAGACACUGAGAAUCGAAGAAGGAGGAUGCAAGGUGCAAAGCAUGGAGCAUUCGCCCAUGGACAGCUUUCCCUGGCACUUACAGGUUAAAUUAAAUACUGGAUCCUAUAGAAUUCCACUGGACACCAACACUCCUGAUUAUGCAAGGCUGAGGAAACUUUUUUCUGCCAAGGGCCACUGGGGUAUGUAUAACUUAAUAAUUUAUUUAUACUUGUAAUAUAUUUCAAUUAUAAGUAGCUAUAUUUAUAUUUAUAAUUUGAAGGUCAUACUAAAUUAUCAACUUGAAAUUAACCUGCUAUUGAUUUAUUGAAUUUCAAGUCCCACCUGUGAUUGCCUUAGGCAGACCAAAUGAUUUUUUUUAUUUAAUAAAUGUGAAUUUACAAAGUGCA